rnacentral:tRNA from 1 species
GCCUUUUGAGUAUGAAUAGUAUAGCUGCCUUCCAAGUAGCAGGAUUAACAACGUUAAAAAAGGCA